GCCUAAAUAGCUCAGUUGGGAGGGCCUCAGCCUAUAAAUCGAAAAGUCCUUGGUUCGAUCCCAGGUUUCGAGU
rnacentral:tRNA from 1 species